rnacentral:snoRNA from 1 species
GCCCUGUGGUUACUGGAUGCUGUUGUAGCGGUACAGUUCUCCAGGAAUGGAAAUGGGCCAGAGCACUACUGUGAUGUAUGCAUGGGGGCUGUUCUUCCUUAGCAGCUGCCAUAGCCCGGUCACUGGUACAUAA